UAUUUUAUUUUGUAUUUCUUCAUUGGGUAUAUACAUAAACUCAGCUUGAAAAAACCUACAGUUCUCUUGUCUGCAGCCUUUGCAAGCCCUCCCCUUCUAACCCCGCCCAGACUUUAUGUGUCUGUCCAAUCACAGACUUCCCAAUACAGCUCACUAAGACUUCUUUGUAAGUCAGGUGCUCUGGGCAAUUGCUGCUUCUUAAGGUCAGAUGCAUUGAGCUAACGAAACCAGGGAGUAACAUUACCCGUACCCUGCUUGAAAGCCAAGGGGGUAUAACCAGGUUAAUUCAUAAAAGUGUCAAUUUGCAUUAAAAUCUUCACUUUUUGAAAAAUGGAAAAAGAGGACACACUCUUUGCACAUAAAGCUUUUCGGCAAGCUAAAGUUGUUUAGGGGUCUUGAGUGACCCUUUAAUUUGAGGGUAUUCCCAUCCAUACUGGAGGAAGGGUUUAGGAAUUACAGCUCUUAAUUAUGCAGCCCCCUCUUUCUCAAAGGACCAAAAGUAAUUGGACAAUUGACUCAAAAGCUGUUUCAUGAACAGGUGUGGGCUUCCUUCAUUAUGUCUUCAUCAAUUAAGCAGGUAAAAUACCUGGAGUUGAAUCCAGGUGUGGCAUUCGCAUUUGGAAGCUGUUGUUAUGAACCAACAACAUGCGGUCAAAAGGGCUCUCAAAGCAAGUGAACAGGCCAUCCUUAGGCUGAAAAAAAAUAUUGAAAAUCCAUCAGAGAGAUAGCAGGAAGAUUAGGAGUGGCCAAAACAUUCUGAGAAAACUCAUUGGUGAUCUCUGCAACACAAAAAGGCCUGGACAUCCACAGGAAACAUCAGUGGUGGAUGAUCGUGGUAUCCAUUCCCUGGUACAGAAAAGGUAAAGAAAAAACCCUUCACAACAUCCAGCCAUGAAGAACACUCUCCAGGAGGUAGGUAUGCCAUUAUCCAAUUCUACCAUAAGAAAAAGACUUUUGCGAGGGCAAAUAAAGAGGGUUCACCACGAGGUGCAAACCAUUCAUAAGUCUCAAGAAUAGAAAGGCCAGAUUAGACUUUGGAAAAAAACAUCUACAAAAGCCAGCCCAGUUCUGGAACAGCAUUCCUCGGACAGAUGAAACUAAGAUCAACCGGUAACGGCAUGAUGGGAAGACAAAAGUAUGUAGAAGGCUUGGAAUGGCUCAUGAUCCGAAACAUACCACAUCACCUGUAAAACAUGGUGGAGGCAAUGUGAUGGCAGGUAUGGCUUCCAAUGGCACUGGGUCACUAGUGUUUAUUGAUGAUGUGCAAGAAGACAAGGAUGAAUUCUGCAUCCUGCAGCCAGAUGAAUUCUUAAGUGUAUAGGAAUAUAUUGUCUUCACAGAUUCAGCCAAAUUGAUUGGACGGACCUUCACUUUACAGAUAGACAGUGACCGUAAGCAUACUGCGAAAGCAACCCAGGAGUUUUUUAAGGCAAAGAUGUGGUAUAUUCUGCAAUGGCCGAGUCAACCACCUGAUCUCAACCUGAUUGAGUAGAUAUUUCACUUGCUGAAGACAAAACGUAAGGCAGAAAGACACACGAACAAACAACUGAAGACAGCUGCACUAAAGAUAUGGCAAAGCAUCACAAGGAGGAAAUCAUUUGGUGAUGUCCACACAUUCCAGAUUUCAAAAAGUCAUUGCCUACAAAGGAUUGUCGACAAAGUAUAUAAAAUGUACAUUUUAUUUAUGAUUGUGUUAAUUUGUCCAAUUACAUUUGAGCCCCUGAAAUAAGGGGAUUGUGUAUGAAAAUGGUUGCCAUUCCUAAAUGUUUCAUACAAUAUUUUUAUUCAACCCCUUGAAUUAAAGUUGAAAGUCUGCACUCCAAUUGCAUCUUUGUUUUUUUAAUGUUAAAUCCACUAUGGUGGCGUACCGAGCCAAAAUUUAAAAAAUCGUGUCAAUGUCCAAAUAUUUCAAGACUUUUUUUUUUUUAUUGUAAUCUAAGAAUGGGUCACUGAGUGAAGAAUUGGUGGCCAUGCUUUUACGAUUCACAUAAUGUGGAUCCCUGUGAAAAAGAGGUUAAGAACCAUUGGUAAGUACAUGUGCCUGUUUGAUUCUUUAAAUCAGAAUAGCUAUGGAAGAU
rnacentral:lncRNA from 1 species